rnacentral:tRNA from 1 species
GUGCUUGUGGUGUAGUGGUUAUCACAUCCGCCUAACACGUGGAAGGUCCCAGGUUCGAUCCCUGGCAGGCACA